UCCAUCUGAGACUGAAGCAUAUACUAAUUGGGAUGAAACAGAAAAGAUGAGCAUGGCACCUAUGCAAAGAUGACACACAAAUUCAUGGUGCAGUCCACUUUUUU